GAGAAACGGCUACCACAUCUAAGGAAGGCAGCAGGCGCGCAAAUUACCCAAUUCUAACAGCAUAAGAGAGGUAGUGACAAGAAAUAACAGUACAAGGCAGUUAAAAUGCUUUGUAAUUGGAAUGAUAGAAAUUUAAAUACUUUUUAAAGUAUCAAUUGGAGGGCAAGUCUGGUGCCAGCAGCCGCGGUAAUUCCAGCUCCAAUAGCGUAUAUUAAAAUUGUUGCAGUUAAAAAGCUCGUAGUUGAAUUUUUGCUAAAAAUAACCGGUCUGCUUUUAUUAAUAAAAGUGGUAUCUUGGUGUGUUUUUAGCAAUAAUGUCCUUUGAAAUGUUUUUUACUUUAUUGUAAAAAGCAAUUUUCAGGAUUUUUACUUUGAGAAAAUUAGAGUGUUUCAAGCAGGCUAACGUUUUGAAUACUGCAGCAUGGAAUAAUAAAAUAGGAUUUUAGUUCUACGUUAUUGGUUUUAAGAACUAAAUUAAUGAUUGAUAGGAGCAGUUGGGGGCAUUUGUAUUUAACUGUCAGA
rnacentral:rRNA from 1 species